GGGGCAUUAGUUCAGUGGGAGAACGCUUCACUGGCAGUGAAGAGGUCAGCGGUUCGAAUCCGCUAUGCUCCACCA
rnacentral:tRNA from 2 species